AACGAACGCUGGCGGCAGGCUUAACACAUGCAAGUCGAGCGCCCCGCAAGGGGAGCGGCAGACGGGUGAGUAACGCGUGGGAAUCUACCCAGCUCUACGGAAUAACGCAUGGAAACGUGUGCUAAUACCGUAUACGUCCUUCGGGAGAAAGAUUUAUCGGAGCUGGAUGAGCCCGCGUUGGAUUAGCUAGUUGGUGGGGUAAAGGCCUACCAAGGCGACGAUCCAUAGCUGGUCUGAGAGGAUGAUCAGCCACACUGGGACUGAGACAUGGCCCAGACUCCUACGGGAGGCAGCAGUGGGGAAUAUUGGACAAUGGGCGCAAGCCUGAUCCAGCCAUGCCGCGUGAGUGAUGAAGGCCCUAGGGUUGUAAAGCUCUUUCACCGGUGAAGAUAAUGACGGUAACCGGAGAAGAAGCCCCGGCUAACUUCGUGCCAGCAGCCGCCGUAACAC
rnacentral:rRNA from 1 species